rnacentral:rRNA from 1 species
AGAGUUUGAUCCUGGCUCAGGACGAACGCUGGCGGCGUGCCUAACACAUGCAAGUCGAGCGGAGACUUAUCGAAUGAAGUUUUCGGAUGGAUUUUGAUAAGUUUUAGCGGCGGACGGGUGAGUAACGCGUGAGCAACCUGCCCUCUACUGGGGAACAACACAUCGAAAGAUGUGCUAAUACCGCAUAAGACCACAGUGCUGACAUGGUACAGGGGUCAAAGGAGCAAUUCGGUAGAGGAUGGGCUCGCGUCUGAUUAGCUAGUUGGUGAGAUAACAGCCCACCAAGGCGACGAUCGGUAGCCGACCUGAGAGGGUGAUCGGCCACAUUGGAACUGAGACACGGUCCAGACUCCUACGGGAGGCAGCAGUGGGGAAUAUUGGUCAAUGGGCGGAAGCCUGAACCAGCCAUGCCGCGUGCGGGAAGGAGGCCCUAUGGGCUGUGAACCGCUUUUGCCUGGGGGCAAUAAGGGCGUCGCGCACGUCCGAUGAGAGUACCAGGCGAAUAAGCAUCGGCUAACUCCGUGCCAGCAGCCGCGGUAAUACGGGGGAUGCGAGCGUUAUCCGGAUUCAUUGGGUUUAAAGGGUGCGUAGGCUGUGCGUCAAGUCGGGGGUGAAAUUCCGGUGCUCAACACCGGGGCUGCCCUUGAUACUGUCGCGCUGGAGUGCGGAUGCCGCCGGAGGAAUGAGUGGUGUAGCGGUGAAAUGCUUAGAUAUCACUCAGAACACCGAUUGCGAAGGCAUCUGGCGAAUCCGUAACUGACGCUGAGGCACGAAAGCGUGGGGAUAGAACAGGAUUAGAUACCCUGGUAUUCCACGCCGUAAACGAUGAUGGCUAACCGCCGGCGACAGACUGUCGGUGGCCAAGCGAAAGCGAUAAGCCAUCCACCUGGGGAGUACGUCGGCAACGAUGAAACUCAAAGGAAUUGACGGGGGCCCGCACAAGCGGAGGAACAUGUGGUUUAAUUCGAAGCAACGCGAAGAACCUUACCUGGUCUUGACAUCCCGAUGAAUGCAGGGCAAUGCCUGCAGUACUUCGGUACAUUGGAGACAGGUGGUGCAUGGUUGUCGUCAGCUCGUGUCGUGAGAUGUUGGGUUAAGUCCCGCAACGAGCGCAACCCUUAUUCUUAGUAGCCAGCACAAAAGGUGGGCACUCUAAGGAGACUGCCGGGGAUAACCCGGAGGAAGGUGGGGAUGACGUCAAAUCAUCAUGCCCCUUAUGACCUGGGCUACACACGUGCUACAAUGGUCGUUACAGAGAGAGGCGAAAUCGCAAGGUAGAGCGGAUCUCAAAAAAGCGAUCCCAGUUCGGAUUGUGGGCUGCAACCCGCCCACAUGAAGUCGGAGUUGCUAGUAAUCGCGGAUCAGCAUGCCGCGGUGAAUACAAUCCCGGGCCUUGCACACACCGCCCGUCAAG